CACGUAGGAGACGAGCGUUGUCCGGAGUUACUGGGCGUAAAGGGUGCGCAGGCGGCUCCGCACGUCCCGCGUGAAAUCGCCCGGCUCAACCGGGCGGGGUCGCGGGCGACGGCGGGGCUCGAGCGAGGGAGGGGGCAGUGGAAUUCCCGGUGUAGUGGUGGAAUGCGUAGAUAUCGGGAGGAACACCAGUGGCGAAGGCGGUUGCCUGGGGCUUUGCUGACGCUGAUGCGCGAAAGCGUGGGGAGCGAUCCGG
rnacentral:rRNA from 1 species